rnacentral:snoRNA from 1 species
UUGAAAAAAUUUAGGAAAGUUCCCAAUGGCUGCAAACAGCAGCUUCCUUGGUAGUGAUGCAGCCUGUUUGUUGUAUGGGUUGCUCUAAGGGACCUUGGAGACAGAC